UUUGAAAAAAAAGGGGACGAUCAAAAGCGAGAAUCAAGAGAGAAUCAGAGCGAGAACAGAGAGUCGCGACAACAAAGAGGGCAAGGAAGGAAAAGAAAACGCACCUCGCCCAUCGGAACUCAGCCUGCGAGGAUGAGAAAUCAGGCGACUGGUUUUCGAG